GUCGUUCGGGAAUGCGGGAAACGGCCCGCUAGUAUAGCGGCGGACGGGUGAGUAACACGUGUUCUCACCUACCCAUCAGUCUGGGAUAACAGGCCGAAAGGCCUGCUAAUACCGGAUUCGGCCAUGUGGUCGGGAGACUAUAUGGAGAAAGGGGCCCUCUGAACGUAAGGUCUCGCUGAUGGAGGGGCUCGCGGCCUAUCAGCUAGUUGGUGGGGUAACGGCCUACCAAGGCGAUGACGGGUAGCCGGCCUGAGAGGGUGACCGGCCACACUGGGACUUAGACACGGCCCAGACUCCUACGGGAGGCAGCAGUGGGACCCACUCCUACGGGAGGCAGCAGUGGG
rnacentral:sRNA from 1 species